CACACCGCUGCAACAAAUAUUCGACUCGUCUUCAUCCUAUACACGCGACCGAGCUCGUUCUUCUUUCUCCGUAAGCUCCACUUUCAAUUUCUAGCUAUAGCUUUUUUCUAUUCUUUCUAUUUCUCUUUUCAAUUAACGCUUAAUAUCGAUUUUUCUUUCUCCAUUUUUGCGUUACGAUUAACCUCUCGCAACGCCGAUGUACCUGAAAACCUAGCUCAUUCGUUUGUAUAUGUUGAAUCCAUUUUUCAAUUUCUUUUUAUUGUUUCAGCUACCUUAGGGUAUGUUAAUGUUAAUCAAUCCGCGUUUUUUAUAUGUUGA